GUUUACUGAAUAACAUCAUGAAAAUUCUGUCUACACAGUAGUCAUUGCUAAAUUCAAUUUCAAUCAUGGAAAUCACUUACAUAGUCAUAGACUGUAAUAUAUGAUGAGUUUCAGAAAUGAAUUUUGUGGACCGUUUUCUUCUGUGUGAGGUUCUUCUGAAUUGUUUGAAUGUGACAUUAGAUGGAUACAAUGAGGUAAGAAAAGUAGAAACUUGGAUCAUGUCGGAUGUAGGAAGAAAUUCCAGAUAGGCCUACAGCCAGUACUAAUGAAACCAGAGGGCUUCCAGUAAUGGAUGGAAUCCUGUCAGCAUACUGAUGCUUGUCCACAUAGCAUUUUAAUGAUGGAGCUAUCCCUUAAUUUGCGGUAGUUGUGCAGAUUAUGCUCAGAGGUCUGGAAAUUUUGAAGCUCAUCUCUUGCUCUCGUUGGUGUUAAUGGGUUUGUGGUCAGUUCUAUGUUGGAUGAGCUAUAGCCUUGAAGGACUGAGCUUUUAGUGGCUUGUAAAGAAUCUCGUUCCAUUUCUUUUGGUUGGUUGGGGAAGAAAUUUAUUCAAGGGCUCUGGAGAACAAAGAAAGCUCCUUAAGCAUUGUUAAGGGCGAAUUGCUGUGUGUUUCUUUUUGUUGGUCUUGGGUAUUUGAUUCAGACAUUUUUCUAGACAUUUAGAAUCUUUUUCCUUGUUGUUGGUCUGCACCGAGGAUGCAUGCCCUUGGUGCUCUUGCAAUAAACUGUGCCUAUCUCCCAAAACAAAUGAGAAUAGGUUCUUAGCAACAUAAGUGGAGAAUAGGUUAUCAUGUCGUGUUGAUAGAUACAGUAGGAUGACUCAGUACUUGUUAAUGAACCUUGUCUCUGUCGCUAUAGGUAUGUUGACAGAGAACUAGAGAGAUUUUUAUUAUGAUGGUUGAUAAAAAAUUUAGUUUAUUUGUCCGUAAAAGUUAAAGAAGUUGGGGGAGUGGAUGAAAUAGGAAACUUAUGUUUGAAAUUUCGCAAAUAGUAACCCAAAUUAGAUUCUGUAAAAAAGGUUUGGUGGUAAAGCCUUGUCAAAAGCAUUCGUUUAUGCGGUGGCGAGAGAACAUUAUCAUUAAGUUUGCUUAAGAUGACUGAAGACAUAAGUGGUUACUUAAGCAAAGCUGAGUUAGAAACCACCUAUAAAAAGUUUUCCAAUAUAUGCAGUGGUGAGAGAACAUUGUCAUUAAGAUUGCUUAAGAUGACCGAAGACAUAAGUGGUUAUUUAAGCGAAGCUGAAUUAGAAAACCACUUAUGAGAAGUUUUCCAAUAUAUGGUAGGUUUAUUUAAAAAAAAAUCUUCCAUGAGGUAAUUAUGGGCCUAGAGUAUGCUUCCGUUUAAGACAUGAAUUGAGGACAUGAUAUCAUGCAGCAUGUUUGUUAGGAAUGGAGGAAAGAAGAAAAUUAACUAAGAUGAUUCCUCUCCAUUUUAUGUCUCAUUUGGAAGGAAAGAAACAAGAGGGCGUUUCAAGGAGUUGAAUUCUCUUGGAAUUGUUUUAGAAUUAAUUGGUUAAACACCUUCAAUUUUGGUAUAUUGGGAAA